GCUCAGAUUGAACGCUGGCGGCAGGCCUAACACAUGCAAGUCGAACGGUAACAGGAAGCAGCUUGCUGCUUCGCUGACGAGUGGCGGACGGGUGAGUAAUGUCUGGGAAACUGCCUGAUGGAGGGGGAUAACUACUGGAAACGGUAGCUAAUACCGCAUAACGUCGCAAGACCAAAGAGGGGGACCUUCGGGCCUCUUGCCAUCGGAUGUGCCCAGAUGGGAUUAGCUAGUAGGUGGGGUAACGGCUCACCUAGGCGACGAUCCCUAGCUGGUCUGAGAGGAUGACCAGCCACACUGGAACUGAGACACGGUCCAGACUCCUACGGGAGGCAGCAGUGGGGAAUAUUGCACAAUGGGCGCAAGCCUGAUGCAGCCAUGCCGCGUGUAUGAAGAAGGCCUUCGGGUUGUAAAGUACUUUCAGCGGGGAGGAAGGCGAUAAGGUUAAUAACCUUGUCGAUUGACGUUACCCGCAGAAGAAGCACCGGCUAACUCCGUGCCAGCAGCCGCGGUAAUACGGAGGGUGCAAGCGUUAAUCGGAAUUACUGGGCGUAAAGCGCACGCAGGCGGUCUGUCAAGUCGGAUGUGAAAUCCCCGGGCUCAACCUGGGAACUGCAUUCGAAACUGGCAGGCUAGAGUCUUGUAGAGGGGGGUAGAAUUCCAGGUGUAGCGGUGAAAUGCGUAGAGAUCUGGAGGAAUACCGGUGGCGAAGGCGGCCCCCUGGACAAAGACUACGCCCAGUCG
rnacentral:rRNA from 1 species